GACGAACGCUGGCGGCGUGCUUAACACAUGCAAGUCGAACGGAAAGGCCCUGCUUUUGUGGGGUGCUCGAGUGGCGAACGGGUGAGUAACACGUGAGUAACCUGCCCUUGACUUUGGGAUAAAUUCAGGAAACUGGGGCUAAUACCGGAUAGGAGCUCCUGCUGCAUGGUGGGGGUUGGAAAGUUCCGGCGGUUGGGGAUGGACUCGCGGCUUAUCAGCUUGUUGGUGGGGUAGUGGCUUACUAAGGCUUUGACGGGUAGCCGGCCUGCGAGGGUGACCGGCCACAUUGGGACUGAGAUACGACCCGGACUCCUACGGGAGGCAGCAGUGGGGAAUAUAGCAAAAUGGGCGGAAGCCUGAUGCAGCAACGCCGCGUGCGGGAUGACGGCCUUCGGGUUGGAAACCGCUUUCGCCUGUGACGAAGCGUGAGUGACGGUAAUGGGUAAAGAAGCACCGGCUAACUACGUG
rnacentral:rRNA from 1 species